AGUGAACGCUGGCGGUAUGCCUAACACAUGCAAGUCGAACGGCAGCACAGUAAUAGCUGGCUCUUACGGGUGGCGAGUGGCGGACGGGUGAGGAAUACAUCGGAAUCUACUUUUUCGUGGGGGAUAACGUAGGGAAACUUACGCUAAUAUCGCAUACGACCUACGGGUGAAAGCAGGGGAUCUUCGGACCUUGCGCGAUUGACUGAGCCGAUGUCGGAUUAGCUAGUUGGCGGGGUAAAGGCCCACCAAGGCGACGAUCCGUAGCUGGUCUGAGAGGAGGAUCAGCCACACUGGAACUGAGACACGGUCCAGACUCCUACGGGAGGCAGCAGUGGGGAAUAUUGGACAAUGGGCGCAAGCCUGAUCCAGCCAGACCGCGUGGGUGAAGAAGGCCUUCGGGUUGUAAAGCCCUUUUGUUGGGAAAGAAAAGCAGCAGGUUAAUACCCCGCUGUUCUGACGGUACCCAAAGAAUAAGCACCGGCUAACUUCGUG
rnacentral:rRNA from 1 species